UACGUAGGGGGCUAGCGUUGUCCGGAUUUAUUGGGCGUAAAGAGCUCGUAGGCGGCUUGGCAAGUCGGAUGUGAAAACUCCAGGCUCAACCUGGAGCCGCCAUUCGAUACUGCUAUGGCUAGAGUCCGGUAGGGGAGUGUGGAAUUCCCGGUGUAGCGGUGAAAUGCGCAGAUAUCGGGAGGAACACCGAUGGCGAAGGCAGCACUCUGGGCCGGCACUGACGCUGAGGAGCGAAAGCGUGGGGAGCGAACAGG
rnacentral:rRNA from 1 species